rnacentral:misc_RNA from 1 species
GUGUGUGUUUUUUUAGACUAUAUGACUGCAUUACCAGCCAUUUCAAUCUGAUGACAUCCAAAUCCUAGGUAUCAAUCGUGUGUUAAACUGGUUGUCGGUGCCUCUUCAACCUAAUGGCAGAAGUGACAGACCAACUGGUGCAACAGUGUGUAAAGAAUGGUAGCCCAUUUUUUUGGAAAGGUGCGGAGCCACACCCCUUAAGGUUUGAGAACCAAACCUCGAAGCAAUUUUCGAGAUGAUCCUUCUGCAGGUUCACCUACAGAAA